rnacentral:rRNA from 1 species
GACAGAGGUGCCGAGCGUUAGGCGGAAUCACUGGGCUUAAAGCGUGUGUAGGCGGCCCGUUAAGUGUCUUGUGAAAUCCCCCGGCUCAACCGGGGAACGGCUGGGCAUACUGGCGGGCUUGGGUCGCUCAGGGGCAGACGGAACAGGCGGUGGAGCGGUGAAAUGCGUAGAUAUCGGGAGGAACACCAGUGGCGAAGGCGGCGACCUGGACAAGCACUGACACUCAACUACGAAAGCGUGGGUAGCAAACAGG